CCUACGGGUGGCAGCAGUGAGGAAUAUUGGUCAAUGGGCGCAAGCCUGAACCAGCCAAGUCGCGUGAGGGAAGACGGCCCUACGGGUUGUAAACCUCUUUUGCCGGGGAGCAAGCCUGAGCACGUGUGCCCAGGCGGAGAGUACACGGAGAAAAAGCAGCGGCUAGCUCUGUGCCAGCAGCCGCGGUAAUACGGAGGAUGGGAGCGUUAUCCGAAUGUAUUGGGUUUAAAGGGUGCGCAGGCGGGCUGUUAAGCCGGCGGUAAAAAUUCAGGGCUCAAGCCUGGCGAGCCGUCGGAACUGGCAGCCUGGAGUGGGCGAGAAGUAUGCGGAAUGCGUGGUGGAGCGGUGAAAUGCAUAGAUAUCACGCAGAACGCCGCUUGCGAAGGCAGCAUACCGGCGCCCGACUGACGCUGAGGCACGAAAGCGUGGGGAUCGAACAGGAUUAGAUACCCCUGUAGUC
rnacentral:rRNA from 1 species